CCAUUUGAAGACACAUCAAGGUCCACCAAAUUCCUGCAUUGCGCCAACUGAGGCCACAAUUUACCUGUGAGAUUGUUGGCACCGACAUCCAGCCUCUCCAGCGAUUUACAGGAUGCAAGUUGCGUCGGGAUAAAGCCCGUCAGGUAAUUGUCGUGCAAUCUUAAAUUCUUCAGUUGCUUCAGAUUCCCCAACUCUGCAGGAAUUGCUCCACUUAACCCGUUUGCCUUAAGCUGCAGGUUCUCUAAGGCAGAGAGGUUUCCGAUUCCCAUAGGAAUAUCGCCCACCAGAUUAUUCUCUGACAGAUCCAAGCUAACCAGCAAAGACAGCUUCACCAGUCCUCCAGGAAUUCCGCCUGUCAGGUUGUUCAUAC
rnacentral:lncRNA from 1 species